rnacentral:rRNA from 1 species
CUGAAGGAAUUGUCGUUUAAAAACUGAGCCGUGCAGGGGAGUGGGCGUGUUCGGCGCGUCCGGCGCGUCUCCUCCCCGUCCCCCGCUCUUGCGGGAGUUCGGACUGGAGUUCCGGACGCUUUUCCCUUAGCAAUGCCUCGGGGGUCCCCUCCGCUGGCUUUCUCUCCGGGUGGGCGUUCCCGGUCCUCGCAAGUUGUUCUCCUGCGGUUCGGGUUAUUACAAGGGCGAGUGCCAGUGUCGUCUACAGUGUGGCUAUGCGAGGGGCUCGUUUUCGGCCGCAGUGGGUGCACCAGCGACUCUGUUCGUCUGGCAGUCCUGCUCCUUUGCGGUCGAAGGGUCCCAGCAAUUUCCACCUGCUAGGCGGUUCCUUGCAAACGCCCGUGGCUGCUUUGCAGACCGUUGAACAUUUGCCGGUCUGCAAAGCAGCUGCAACCCCCCGAAGUGUCGCCGGGCAGGCAAUGCCGUACAGAUUAUUUCGUGCCUUCGGACGGGUGCACCUGCGUACGUCGCCGGGCGGGCCGACCGUCCACUGUUUCCGUUCUCAUCUGUUCGGUCUCCGGCCUUUCGACACUCCGGGGCGGGGACACCCUUUCUCCGAUUUUCCCCCACGGGGCAUCGCCUCUGGUUGCAGGGGGGCGUCGAGUGGAGGUGCGUGUCAUAACACUCAACGCAUCGGUGCGGAUUGCACCAAGGAUCUGAUAAAUAGCUGUGCGUGCUGCGCGCCAUGCGCGCGUCGGACUCACGGCGCCAAUUAAACACGACUCUCGGCAACGGAUAUCUCGGCUCUCGCCACGAUGAAGAAUGUAGCGAAAUGCGAUACUUAGUGUGAAUUGCAGAAUCCCGUGAAUCAUCGAGUCUUUGAACGCAAGUUGCGCCCGAGGCCUCGGCCGAGGGCACGUCUGCUUGGGCGUCGCACUCUAAAAUCGACUUCCCCCGUUCCUCGGCGGGAGGAUCGGAGAUGGCUGUCCGUGCCCACCAGCGGCGCGGUCGGCUUAAAUGGGCACGAGAUUUGUGGCCGAUGUCACGAUGAGCGGUGGCCAAUGUUGGUCGGCGUUGGAUUGUGGCACGAGGUCACGGAUUCGUGCGGAACCUUACUCGUUGUUAGUCGCGACUCUCAGCGGAAGCGUGCGCUCAGUUCCG